rnacentral:rRNA from 1 species
CCAAUAGCGUAUAUUAAAGUUGUUGCAGUUAAAAAGCUCGUAGUUGAAUUUCGGGAUCAAUAUGUUGGUCGUGCCUUUGGUACGUACUAGCUUAUUGAUUUCUCCCUUCUGACGAACCAUGAUGUCAUUAAUUUGGUGUCAUGGGGAAUCAGGACUGUUACUUUGAAAAAAUUAGAGUGUUUAAAGCAGGCUUACGCUUGAAUACAUUAGCAUGGAAUAAUGAAAUAGGACGUUUUGAUUCUAUUUUGUUGGUUUCUAGGAUCGACGUAAUGAUUAAUAGGGAUAGUUGGGGGCAUUAGUAUUCAAUUGUCAGAGGUGAAAUUCUUGGAUUUAUUGAAGACUAACUACUGCGAAAGCAUUUGCCAAGGAUGUUUUCAUUAAUCAAGAACGAAAGUUAGGGGAUCGAAGACGAUCAGAUACCGUCGUAGUCUUAACCAUAAACUAUGCCGACUAGGGAUCGGAUGAUGUUAAUUUUUAAUGACUCAUUCGGCGCCUUACG